rnacentral:misc_RNA from 1 species
AUGACUUGUUGGAUGAGAUUGCUUUUAAGCUUUUCGAUUGAAGACGGAAGCUGGAUCUCACACCUUUGGAGAUCAGGUAAGGAGCUUUUCUCUUCUCUUAAUCCAUUUAUUAAAAAGAGGACGAAAACAAAAUUAGAAGAAAUCGUUGUGAGGCUUGAACAUCUGGUAAAACAGAAGGAUGCUCUUGGUUUGAGAGAGGGCAUUGGCGAAAACCCAUUUUCACAAAAAAUACCAACAACUUGUCUGGUAGAUGAAUCUGGUGUUUUUGGUAGGGAUGAUGAUAAGAAAGCCAUAAUGAAAUUUUUGUUAUCAAAUGAUGAAAAUAGCUGUAGAUUAGGUGUGAUUCCUAUAUUGGGUAUGGGUGGGGUUGGCAAAACCACCCUUGCUCAGCUUGUUUACAAUGACAGGGCUGUGGAGCAGUGGUUUGAUUUGAAAGCAUGGGUUUGUGUUUCAGAAGAAUUUCAUGUCUCCAAGGUAACAAAAGAUAUUCUUGAGGAGGUGGGUCGGCAUACUUGUAAUGACAAGACUCUAAAUCAGCUUCAACUUGAGCUAAAGGAGGCAUUGAAUGGGAAGAAAUUUUUGCUGGUUUUGGAUGAUGUUUGGAAUGAU